CGGCUUUUGAGGAUAUGCAACAAUAUUUUGACUCUUCACAUCAUACUGUUUAUUUAUAUCUCUGAAAUACUUAGUUUGAGCAUUUAAGAGCCUUAAAAAUGUCCUCCUUAGUAGGAGAUAAUGAUUAUUCCAACCAAAAUAAGGUAGGUUACAGCCAGGGGCUUUAUAAGUGAGGGCACCUAUUCAGUGAAAUAGCUGAGCUCUUACACCUUCGAUGUUCACCCAUUUUUUUUUUCCAGGCUUGUUUAAUAUUCUAAAGCUGUAGAUAAACACUUGGCAUAAGGAAGCUUUUCACUUCACUUGAGAAAGUAGUGUCUAAUUCCGAACAAACAGACAGUCAUGUUCUCCCAGGCUGAUUUUCAAAUGCUGACCUUUGACCUCUCGCUCUCUCUAUCUUACAAGUAGACCGAGCCAUGUAAACGUGUAACCACAUAUGGGUAGUUUGACGCCUGUGAAAGGCUAGUUUUCUGACAGCUUGUGUUUAUUAUAACAAGUGCUGGAAUUCAGUCUAAUGAAGGUUUUUUUAUUAUCUAUAAAUAAGGUCAGCUAGAGCCAAAGCGCAAUGAGUGAAGCGUUUAAGAGAAAGGACAACCAGCAGAUGAUUGAUGAUUGACUUCUGGCACUUCUUAUUGUUUUUCUAACGUCUCAAAGUGACAGCUCAACAACAGGUCAUUUCCAAGGACGAGGCACGGGAGGAAGUUACUUUGCUGUUACAUAAACAAGAUUAUUUUAAAUCACAUUUCACAGCAUUCUAAAGCAGAGCUGCAAUGAAAGGCAGCUCUGCUUCAAAAGGGAUGGAGAACAAGAGUGAUAUUAAAGGAGUAAGAGGGAGCAAUGUAUUUUAUCUCCACACAGGAAUAUAGAUGUGGCUCAUUUUGCGAAUUGACUUCGAAGACUGCAGUUCUGCAAUAUUUCUGCACCCACCCACGCCUCACUUUGAGAAAUAUACAGCUGAAGUCCGAUUCAGCAAGGAUGCUUCAUGAUUUACAACGUGGAGGGAUGUGUUCCCAUCUAGGACUUCAGCCACUGCCGGACAGGAGAUUUACAGGUACAACGAUACCAAUGAUUACUUUCGGACGCCGAGGAGAAAUGGACACAGUUUGUUUUUCUCCCCUUUCAAUCUUCAAGACCUGGACUGAGCAUGAUUGAGUCCCUGGGCUUACAUUUGAGUCUCUGUCCCCGAGCAGCGGCACCGGGUUCGCUUAUGGACACACACAGGCUAACUUGGCUAACAGGCUAAAGCUCAAGACGAUAAAUAACAUACGCUAGGGUGACCAUACGAGCCUUUUUCCCAGGAUGUGUUCUUGCCAGGAUUUCUAUUUUACCUUAAAUAUCCAGGUUUUGUAUGUUC
ensembl:lncRNA